AUUGAACGCUGGCUGCAGGCCUAACACAUGCAAGUCGAACGAGUGGCGGACGGGUGAGUAAUGUCUGGGAAACUGCCUGAUGGAGGGGGAUCACUACUGGAAACGGUAGCUAAUACCGCAUACCAUCGGAUGUGCCCAGAUGGGAUUAGCUAGUAGGUGGGGUACCGGCGCACCUGGGCGACGAUCCCUAGCUGGUCUGAGAGGAUGACCAGACACACUGGAACUGAGACACGGGCCAGACUCCGACGGUAGGAAGCAGUGGGGAAUAUUGCACAAUGGGCGCAAGCCUGAUGCAGCCAUGCCGCGUGUAUGAAGAAGGCCGUCGGGUUGUAAAGUACUUUCAGCGGGGAGGCGUUACCCGCAGAAGAAGCACCGGCUAACUCCGUGCCAGCCGCCGCGGUAAUUC
rnacentral:rRNA from 1 species